rnacentral:lncRNA from 1 species
UCCUAAUUAGAUUAGGAUGAAACCAUGAGAGAGGCACCUAAUCCUCUUUGGAAGAGGAUUAGGUUAACCAACUAAGAGGGGCAUCAGCCCCUCUCCAAUUGCUUGGGGCGACAAGAAGAGAGGAGCUAGGGCCGGCGCCCCUUUCUUUCUUUGGAAAGUUAUCUAGGGCUCCAACUUUGGAGGAGCCCUUGAUAGCUAUAAGAAGCACCAUGAGGCCGGCGCCCUAAGCAUUGGAGCCCUCUUCCCUUGUGCCGUGGCCACCCUCUUCCUCCUUCUUAGUUGCAGCCGCAAGCAAGAAAGAAGGAACCUCCAAGUGUUGGCGGCUUCCUCCUCUUCCUUUUCUUCAUCCAGCGCAAGCAACAGAAAGAAGGCUGUGCAGGGGUUCAUCUACUUCCUCUUCUUC